rnacentral:rRNA from 1 species
AUUGAACGCUGGCGGCAGGCCUAACACAUGCAAGUCGAGCGGAUGAAGGGAGCUUGCUCCUGGAUUCAGCGGCGGACGGGUGAGUAAUGCCUAGGAAUCUGCCUGGUAGGGGGGGAUAACGUCCGGAAACGGGCGCUAAUACCGCAUACGUCCUGAGGGAGAAAGUGGGGGAUCUUCGGACCUCACGCUAUCAGAUGAGCCUAGGUCGGAUUAGCUAGUUGGUGGGGUAAAGGCCUACCAAGGCGACGAUCCGUAACUGGUCUGAGAGGAUGAUCAGUCACACUGGAACUGAGACACGGUCCAGACUCCUACGGGAGGCAGCAGUGGGGAAUAUUGGACAAUGGGCGAAAGCCUGAUCCAGCCAUGCCGCGUGUGUGAAGAAGGUCUUCGGAUUGUAAAGCACUUUAAGUUGGGAGGAAGGGCAGUAAGUUAAUACCUUGCUGUUUUGACGGUACCAACAGAAUAAGCACCGGCUAACUUCGUG